GAUUAACGCUGGCGGCAUGCCUAAUACAUGCAAGUCGAACGGAAGCAACAAUGCUUUAGUGGCGAACGGGUGAGUAACACGUAGGGAACCUACCUAUACGACGAGGAUAACUACUGGAAACGGUAGCUAAAACUGGAUAGGAUCAAUUGAGGCAUCUUGAUUGAUUUAAAGAUCCUUCGGGAUUACGUAGAGAUGGCCCUGCGGCGCAUUAGCUAGUUGGUGAGGUAACGGCCCACCAAGGCGACGAUGCGUAGCUGAGCUGAGAGGCUAAACAGCCACACUGGGACUGAGACACGGCCCAGACUCCUACGGGAGGCAGCAGUAGGGAAUUUUCGGCAAUGGGGGAAACCCUGACCGAGCAAUGCCGCGUGAACGAUGAAGGUCUUCGGAUUGUAAAGUUCUGUGAUUGGGGAAGAAUGGUAUUCUUAGGGAAUGAGGAGUACAUGACGGUACCCGAUUAGAAAGCCCCGGCUAACUAUGUGCCAGCAGCCGCGGU
rnacentral:rRNA from 1 species